rnacentral:tRNA from 1 species
GCCGAGGUAGUCUAGCGGUAAGGCGCAAGCCUGGAAAGCUUGUGGGGCAUGAGGCCCCUCGAGGGUUCAAAUCCCUCUCUCGGCG